GCAUAUCAAUAAGCGGAGGAAAAGAAACCAACAGGGAUUGCCCUAGUAACGGCGAGUGAAGCGGCAACAGCUCAAAUUUGAAAUCUGGCCCUCGUGGUCCGAGUUGUAAUUUGUAGAGGAUGCUUUUGGUGCGGUGCCUUCCGAGUUCCCUGGAACGGGACGCCAUAGAGGGUGAGAGCCCCGUCUGGUUGGACACCAAUCCUCUGUAAAGCUCCUUCGACGAGUCGAGUAGUUUGGGAAUGCUGCUCUAAAUGGGAGGUAAAUGUCUUCUAAAGCUAAAUACCGGCCAGAGACCGAUAGCGCACAAGUAGAGUGAUCGAAAGAUGAAAAGCACUUUGAAAAGAGGGUUAAAUAGUACGUGAAAUUGUUGAAAGGGAAGCGUUUGUGACCAGACUUGGGCUUGGUUAAUCAUCCAGCGUUCUCGCUGGUGCACUUUGCCAGCCCAGGCCAGCAUCAGUUCGCUGCGGGGGAUAAAAGCUUCGGGAACGUGGCUCUUCGGAGUGUUAUAGCCCGCUGCAUAAUACCCUGUGGCGGACUGAGGUUCGCGCAUCUGCAAGGAUGCUGGCGUAAUGGUCAUCAACGACCCGUCUUGAAACACGGACCAAGGAGUCGUCUUCGUAUGCGAGUGUUCGGGUGUCAAACCCCUACGCGUAAUGAAAGUGAACGGAGGUGGGAGCCUCGGCGCACCAUCGACCGAUCCUGAAGUUUACGGAUGGAUUUGAGUAAGAGCAUACGGGGCCGGACCCGAAAGAAGGUGAACUAUGCCUGUAUAGGGUGAAGCCAGAGGAAACUCUGGUGGAGGCUCGCAGCGGUUCUGACGUGCAAAUCGAUCGUCAAAUAUGGGCAUGGGGGGCGAAAGACUAAUCGAACCUUCUAGUAGCUGGUUUCCGCCGA
rnacentral:rRNA from 1 species